rnacentral:lncRNA from 1 species
CACCGUUGUGUGCAGCUGUUCGUCCUUUAGGAUGAGGGGCAGCCAAUACUGUCGCUGGUUUCUGCACGGCAUUCCAAUAUGCAAUUUUGCUGCCAUGCGUCGCAGAAUGGCCGUGUCCAGAUCCUCGGGUCGAUUUGCGGCACCCAGUACGAUUACAGCAGAGAUUCCGGGCGUGAACAGGCCAUCCUACAGCUGCAUGAACUGCGUCUUCAUCAUGGGCGUGGCCUCAUGAUCAUGGUGUCCCCGUGCCGGAACAGGGAGUCGAUCUCAUCGAUGAAUAUGAUUGCUGGCUCCAGUUUCUUUGCCAGCGAGAAGACGGCGGCGGACAGCUUCUGGGUCUCCCCAUACCACUUGUCCGUCCGUGGCCACAUCUAGAUUGAUGAACCGCCAAUCAUGCUUCAACAGCUCCCGAUGUUGACAGACAGCACCACUGUCUCCCACAGCUCCUGGAAAAUGGUAUCUAAGUCGGCUAUAUCGCUCCACUGGAUCUUUACGGCAAUUAUCAGCUCCUGGUCAGUCAAGUCUGCCAUCUUAAGGCUUUUAUUAAGUAUUUUCAUCUGCUUCUGGGCCUGCUUCUUGGCCUUGCCGUGUUUUUAGUCGAAUAAGUGGCUGUUGUCACGGAGACAGGCCGCAACAGCCACCAGCAGGUAUCCACUUGUGAUCAUUAGGCUGGCCUUCAAGGCCAACGAGAUGAUUCUGCCACGUGUGAGGAUCUGGUCAAUGCGGCGUAGAGACAAUUUGCUUUAAACACAAUCAAUUAACCAUGAGAGUUUCCUACAGACUACAUUUAUAAUAAAUAUUCUGUGUUGAAGUACUUUUUGGGGUUUGGAAAAUUAACAAAGUAAAUUUCAAAAAUUUUAAUAAUACUCCGAAUAUUUACCGAUUUCUGCCAGCGGCUGCGUUUUAAUUUCUGUAUAACUUUUCAUAUUUGGCCCGGAGCUGUGUCUCUCUUCCCCUCUCUUGAGCUCACUCCACUGCGAAGAACCUGCAAAGCAAUGCAAGCCAACAAAAGAAAAGAAAAAAAGAAAAUAGUUGCGAAAAGUAAAGCAUGGAAAAGGCAGAAGAGCGAGUAGAGGGAGAGAAAGACUGGGUUGAGGGCAGAAGAUGUUUUUUAUUUUUAGCAUCUUUCGGCGGAAGUCAAUGUAACAAAAGAUAAACUUGUCCAGCCAGCUGCCAGUUCCUUGCACUUCGAUGCCUUUUCCAAGGCAUUCCAGGAG